UUCUCACUGCUCCUGUUUUAGGAUAUGGAGAACAAGGACUUGAAUGCCACUUCCAAAAUGUGUGAGCUUCUUGCUAAGGAUCCUAAAUUUCAGCAAGGCUACAUUGCUGUUACAUUUUCCACAGGAGUCUACAUCUUGAAGAGAUGCCCAAUAACACCCUUGAUAGGUUUCGCCCUUUACGGCAGAUAAACAUUAAGAAUGAUGAGCAACUUUCUGCGAUCUCAAAUCCAGUGAUUUGUCCCAACCCACAGCAAGUGCAAAGCAUCAUGAACACAGCAGUGCUCUGCACCCCAUUGUGACUCUUGAGACACAACCUAACUGAAAAAGCCAACCCUGUCUGCAAAGAAGAACUAGUCUCCUGCUUACGCACACAGCCCCCUUCCUCUCUUCUCCUAGCUUGGUAAAAGGGUCCUAGUCUCUAAGAGACGCAUGCUUGCUUAGUGUGAGCUCUUCCCAGCUUUUCUGAAAUAAACCUGCCUGCAUUUGA